UACCCGGGUCAUUCGGCUAGUAUGAUACAAGGGAGACAUUUUUUUGAAAACCAAAAAUUGAGCUAAACACUUGCCGUGCGCGAUUUGUCAUAAAUUCAGGUGGUAUUUCUUUUUUGUUCUUUUUGAGUGUUCCUACUAAGGUCAAUUUAUGCUCAUUCAAAAUAGCUACUGCAAGAGGAUAGCUGAUAUACCAAUUUUCAGUUGUUAUGUUGCGUUUUGACCCGGAGAUUGGAAGUGCAAGUCUUUCAACUACAUUGUUGGGAGAGUUACUUAUUUGAUAAGGGCCUUCAGGUUGCUUGCCAGCGUAUAUUCCAAGAUUCACCACAUAGCUUGUGUGGGACCAACAUAACACAUAAGUCUUUAUGCCAUAUUUUGCGGGUUUAUUGGGAAGGUACUGCUUGAAACUACAUCGACCUUUGAAUGGAAUAAUCUUUUUGUCUACUGUCAAAUAUUCCCCAGGAUUAUACAUAGUUUUGCAGUUUGUAACAAAUUCUUCAAAUAUUUCUAUAAUCUAGAAUAUAUUUGAAUAUAUAUUUCUAUAAUCUAGAAAUGUUUGAAGAAUUCGUUACAAACUGAUGUGUUAUGUUGGUCCCACACAAGCUAUGUGGUGAAUCUUGAAAUAUACGCUGGCAAGCAACCUGAAGGCCCUUAUAAUUAUAAUUAUUUAUAUUUUUAUAUUUAUAUUAUAAUUAAUUAUAAUUAGUGCUAGUUUGUCAACUUUUUUCUUAUUUCAUGUGUGGGCAAAUCAUCGAAACGCAAACACCUGAGUAAAAAGAAAAAUCGCUCGCGAUUCAUUACGGACUGGAAAAUUUCGAAUCCGGUUCCAUCAUCUUCCCAUAUUUCUUGAAAGGAAAGAUGGCAGGCCUUUCUUGUCCCAGAAAGUAACAAAAGUCCAAUAAGAACCCAAAUCUCUAUCUAAUUACUAUCUUUUACAUCCCUUUCUCGAGAAAAAUUUCCUCAAAUCCUUGAGAAAUAUUUAUUGGUGUUACACACUAUUUUUUCAACUAUUUUAUUUGAGAUAAAUUUUCUCUAAGCUCCAACAGCUGUUGUGAUGUUCUUUCCAUCUCUUUUUGGUCCAGUAAGGUGAGAAAUUAUGUUGUAAGAGCGAAUUCUUACCUUUGUACUUUGCCAUUCACUGGUCUUCCACCGCGUUGUCUGGUCUCUCCCCACAUAGAAACUAGAAGUUGAAGAACCAAAUUCUUCGUUUUCAGAUUCCAACUCGGAUUCAGAAUCAUGGUAGCUAUAUAUUUCGGUAUUUUCAUCAGAAGAUAUAUCUGAUGUGCCACCAACAACUUCAUUUUGGAUUCAGAAUUAGAGAGAGUUGAUGUAUCCAUGAAAUAUUUUUAAAAAUAAAUAGCAAAGGAUAGUUUUUGGAGAGCUAGGAAUAAAGAGUAAACAAAGAAUAUGUGAACAAAGCCAACAGAAAUACAUCCAUCUGAAUCUGAAACCUAAAAAAUAUAGGCGAGCUGUCACUCACGACCUGCCAAAGGUGUUACGUAAACACUCGCGCUGGGUGUAAACCACCCAGCUUAUCUGAUUACCAAAAAGUUAAAUGUUUAUUUUUGAAAUUCAUUAGGCCAAUCUAUGCUUCACCACAAAUAAUUAAGCUACCGAAACACUCAAGCUGCUAUAUUUAUUUUUUACAGUUUAGUAUCUUACUGGGUGUAAUACACCCAGCGCGAGUAAUUAAGGGUUAAAUCUAUAGAACCUAUUUCAAACGUUUGUGGUUAACGAUAUUUGAAAAGUGAAAGUAAUUUUGAUAUCCUUAUCUACAUAUUCCUGUCUGUAAUUUGAAAAGAACAUGGUGUAUAAUAAUAAAAUAAAUAAAGCUUCCAGGGCUAAGUUUCUUGUGUAAACCUUAUAUUUUCAAGCUUUCGACUUAUCAGUCCUUCAACAGGAGUAUUACAUUAAUAAAUUAAUGAUAAAUACUAUUAUUUACAUACAGUUAAACCUGUCAAUAGCGCCCCCUCUAAAUAGUGCCUUCCUCUCUAGUGCCCGAUUUUAAAUACGUAGUAUGAUGCGAUAGAGAGUGACCUGUCUAUAGCACCCAAUUUUGGUGAGUCCCAAGAGGGGGCGCUAUAGACAGGUUUAACUUUAUUAUAAAUAUUUAUGAUAUUGCGAGAAAUAUAUUACAACAUUUGGCCUUAAAUACCCAUUUCUUGGUUUUUCAAGAAGCCACUGGAACUAAAAAUCUUUUUGGUCACAGUGGUACAGCCUACUCCACGCUGACGAGCGCCAACAGCGCGAAACACAUGCGAUUCGUGGAUGGCUUUUCUUGAUUUAUUAAGAAAUUGGUUUGGCCAAAUAUCAUAGAACAGGCUAAAUCAAUGUUUAGUUGAUUUCUGUUCCACCAGAUAGCGCUCUACCUUCUGAAAAGCACAUGUGCUCCUGGUCAGGAUAUGCCUUUUUUAUUUUUAAUUACACGCAUAAACGUGCAUGGUGGAUGAUACGUGCUGGUUGAAUGAUAUCUUGAGAUUAUAAAUUAAAUUUAUGAUAAAUUCGUGAACUAUUUUUUGGAUCAAAAUAUCAUUUAUUUUACCAAUAUUUCAGUUGGCUGAACGCCAACCUUUAUGAAGGUAUUUUAACAUAUUAACCAUCAAAUAUACAUAUACACCAUCAAAAGUCUCAAGCUUUACAAGCUUGUUACCCUAAUAUGAUUGAGUGGAGAUUAGAAAGAAGAAGAUAAAAAUUUCUAAAAACCUUACGCAAGAAGUUUCGUUAUUCGUGAACUAUUGAGUGUUAUAUAUAGAAGUGUGCCUAUGGGAUACGUGGUGUAUUAACCAAGUUUGGUGUAUGCAGGAUUGGGACCGUGCUAAAGGACGUGAAGUUGUUCAGUCUUCAGCUUAUUUCACGGCCAGCAAAGCACGGUUCAGAAUAGCUAUGAAUAAAAUCAAACAAAUUAAAAAGGAGGAAUCAAUGAUCAAAGAGGAAUCAAAGAAUGGAAGGAAUUAGUAAGUUUGCAUAAAACAUCUAAUGUCUAUAUAUAUAUAUAUAUAUUGUAGUAAUUUGCGAAACAAUUGGCCUGAUGAUGAGCUAAUGCUUGAAAGCUGGCCAUUUUUACUUAAUAAAGAAACUUUUUGCAAUUAUUUGAUUGAUGUAUAUCGCAUAAAUCCUUUGCAAAUAUUUCACAAUCUAAUUUAAUGUCUACUCAAAAUUGCAAGAUUGCGGAUGUAGACAAAUUACUAAAAAAAAAACAUGCCUUAACUCUUUUUAUCUAUAAAUCAUAAAUUCAAUUGUUUCUAUUGGUAAAAAAAAGAAUUAUAACAAUAGUUUUUGGCAAUUUGUUUGUGUUUUUAUAUAUAUUGUAAAUUAUUAUCUCUACAGAUCUCAUUGUGCAAUGCUAAAAGUUAAAGGGCUUGGCUCAUCAGUAAUAAACCGUCUCAGCAGUUUUGCCAAAUUUAUCUUCAAACCGCAAUACUAUUUUAUUGGUUUUGUUAUAUAACCUGUAUUUAUUAAGGAAGACAGCUUAGAAGUGUUUAGGGAACCUAUGGACAUAUAGGUCUGUAGAGGUACAUACAUAUAAUUUAUAAUACAAUAUAAUGCGGCUUAUGAUUGUAAAACGACAUUGGAAAAUAUCCCGCAUGAGUUUCUUUUAAAUGAAAAAUCGAAAUUUAUUUUUAAGGAGAAAUAAAGGCUAUUUCUAACCUUAGAGAUGAGGUAUGAAAGGAUGAAUCCCUGGGCACUUUUAUUUUUCCGUUUAUCGUUACUCUUCACAAUUCAUCCUUUCAUACCUCAUCUCUAAAGUUAGAAAUAGUCGUUUUUUCUCUUUAAAAAUAAAUUUCGAUUUUUCAUUUAAAAGAAACCCUUGCGGGAUAGUUUCCAUUGUCGUUUUACAUACAUAUAAUUACAAUAAAAUGUAUCGAGUGAAGCUCUUAUGCAAAUAUGGUUUUAUAUCAAAGCCAUAGUUAGCUGAAGAAAAGCUUGCCAGAAUGCAUUCUUUAAUCAUAUAAAUCAAAAGAGUUUUUUUUUUUUUGCUUGUUCCUAGUACACGUGGUAUAGGCCACGAUAAUCAUGGUGGGUAGAAGUAGGCGACUGCUUUUACUGUAAGUGCACCAUAUGUCUACAUAUGUGAAAAGCAGUUCGACUUUUGCACCAACAAAUGUACCAGAGCCCCAAAAAAACGCAAACAAAAAGUCGUUGGACGAGUGGGUAACACCCUCGAUUCCCGUAUGUAUAUAUUCCCGUAAUGUAAUUCCUAGAUGAACCAUUCUGAUAUCACCCUUGUCUAACUCCAUCCUGAUGUGUUGAAGGGAGGAGGAGAAAGCGAGCCCAUGUUUCCACAACCUAAGGAAGUCCCCUUUCUUCAUUUCAAGGGAGCUAGGACGGCCCCUCCUACAAUCACGACCCCGCCCCUCUGCCACCAUAAGCCCUGCCUUAACAUCACUGACCCCACCUUUGUUGUUGUUGUUGUUUCUUAUCCCCUUGUGUAAAGAUUACACGAAUUCCAUGAGUGGUCUCAUGGAAUGGGGUGUAGGGGUGCAGCUUUUGUUGAUCAGGAUUUUUAAAGAGGUCUACUCCUCUUCUAACAAUGCUGCUGUUGGUCCGCGACUGCGUUAUUCUGCUUGUUUCGCAGCUGGCCUUCAUAUCUGAAGGUCGUUCCCCUAUCCGCCACCUGGGGACGCGCCCUAUAGCAGUCAGUUCUGCCAAGGGGACCCCACCUUUACUACCAUUGACCCUGCCUCCAAAUUUUUUGUACAUUAUUUGUAUAGAGAACUUUACAUUAAUAAAUGGUUAUUUAUUUUUAAAUAAUGGAUUUUGUUGUUAUAUAUACAGUGUUUUGUAAUUUAUUUAUUCACCAGAAUAUUUACACAUAUUUCCUACAAAUUCAAUAUGACAUUAAAUGCUCCAAGUGCAAUUGGAGGUUUGUGGUUUUACUUAUCCCUAGUACAUGUGGCCAUGAUAAUCAUGGUGGGUAGAAGUUAGCAAAGUGUAUGAUUUUUCAGCAAUAACGUUGUUGUUUCUUAUCCCCUUGUGUAAAGAUACACAAAUUCCAUGAGUUCAUGCUCCUCAAGCUGUUUUAUGAUAAGCAGCAGCAUCUCCCAAAGGUCCUGUUUAGUACAUCUAAUGCAACCCAAACUUUGUUCUGGAGCUGGAGGUGCCAAGCUACAUUUUAGGCAAGUAGGGUAGAUUUUAUAUAUUUUUUUUUCAAUAGCUUGAGAGAUGACCUGUUCUAAAUCCUGUUGUUUAAUGCUGUCUAUGUUCACCUUAGACAUGAAGUCUGCUCUUCCAAGAUUAUCUUAUGAUAUUUUCAUAUGAUUCUUUUAAAUGAAAUAAUUUUUCUACUGCUCUCUCUUCCUGCAACGAUGUCUAUGAAACCAAAAUACAAUCUUCGAACAGUGUGGUAGAUUAAACUGGAAAAAUCACUGGUAAGGUUCACCACUGAUGAGCCAGGCCCUUCUUGAGUUCGAGUGUCUUGCUUUAUUAUUAUCUCAAGCUUUCGGAUAUCACAAAGCCUCGCUAGAGGACACUUCUCAACAAAG